rnacentral:piRNA from 1 species
UAUCUGUGAAGACAAAACAAA